UACGUAGGGUGCGAGCGUUAAUCGGAAUUACUGGGCGUAAAGCGCGCGCAGGUGGUGCGGUAAGUCUGUCGUGAAAUCUCCCGGCUCAACUGGGAGGGUGCGGUGGAGACUGCCGGACUGGAGGCACUCAGAGGCCGGUGGAAUUCCCGGUGUAGUGGUGAAAUGCGUAGAGAUCGGGAGGAACACCAGUGGCGAAGGCGGCCGGCUGGGGGUGACCUGACGCUGAGGCGCGAAAGCGUGGGGAGCGAACCGG
rnacentral:rRNA from 1 species